GGGAAACUGCCUGAUGGAGGGGGAUAACUACUGGAAACGGUAGCUAAUACCGCAUAACGUCGCAAGACCAAAGUGGGGGACCUUCGGGCCUCAUGCCAUCAGAUGUGCCCAGAUGGGAUUAGCUAGUAGGUGGGGUAAUGGCUCACCUAGGCGACGAUCCCUAGCUGGUCUGAGAGGAUGACCAGCCACACUGGAACUGAGACACGGUCCAGACUCCUACGGGAGGCAGCAGUGGGGAAUAUUGCACAAUGGGCGCAAGCCUGAUGCAGCCAUGCCGCGUGUAUGAAGAAGGCCUUCGGGUUGUAAAGUACUUUCAGCGAGGAGGAAGGCGUUAAGGUUAAUAACCUUGGCGAUUGACGUUACUCGCAGAAGAAGCACCGGCUAACUCCGUGCCAGCAGCCGCGGUAAUACGGAGGGUGCAAGCGUUAAUCGGAAUUACUGGGCGUAAAGCGCACGCAGGCGGUCUGUUAAGUCAGAUGUGAAAUCCCCGGGCUCAACCUGGGAACUGCAUUUGAAACUGGCAGGCUUGAGUCUUGUAGAGGGGGGUAGAAUUCCAGGUGUAGCGGUGAAAUGCGUAGAGAUCUGGAGGAAUACCGGUGGCGAAGGCGGCCCCCUGGACAAAGACUGACGCUCAGGUGCGAAAGCGUGGGGAGCAAACAGGAUUAGAUACCCCUGGUAGUCCACGCUGUAAACGAUGUCGACUUGGGAGGUUGUUCCCUUGAGGAGUGGCUUCCGGAGCUAACGCGUUUAAGUCCGACCGCCCUGGGGGAGUACGGCCCG
rnacentral:rRNA from 1 species